UUAAACACAAUGACCAGGUAAAGUAGGUUAUAUGAAUCAUACAGAGAGGAAUUCCAAGGCUGAGAGAAUUCUAUGAUGUAGUAUAUCUGAAGUGCGCCUGAGAGUGUUAUACCGAAAUCAAGUAGGUUGUUACGGGAUCUCCCGUUAUAGAGAUAUGGUGUGUUAGCACCAGAAUAGAUGAGAUGGGCAUUUUUUGCCUAAUCAGAGUGGGACCGUGGAAGUUAGCCUUCUGCCUCUGAA
rnacentral:ncRNA from 1 species